CGCCGCCGCCGCGCGAGCUCCGGUACCCCUGUCGCGCCGGCGUAUUGGAGGGGUCACCUGGGGCCAUGGACGCGGCCGUGUGCUCCGGAUGGAGCCCUUCCGCGACCUGCAAGACCCAAGCCCCACUUCCACGCCGCCGUCCAGGAGCCACCCAAAGGUGUGGCUGGCAAGAAUGCAAACCAGCCUGUGCGUUUACCGCGGCAGCGUGCGAUGGCAGCGGGUGGCCUACUUCUUUGACUCCGUGGCCUUUGCGGACCUCGUGAGGAUGUCACCCAUAUUGAUUCUUCUGGUGUUCUUAGGACGCAGGCUGUGUAUAUCUUCCCCCUGAGGAGGUUGAACCAGGCCAUCUACCUGCUCCACACUUAAUAACCUACUAAUGUAUAUAUACUUUAUUUCACCUGGAGAACGAGCACCUACCCGGGCUGCUCCUGUGACGGUGGGCUCGUGGUCCUGUGAGUGCAGGAUCUGCCUGGACGAGUUCAAGAACGCUGGCAGGUCGGGCUGAGUGAACUUUCCCUGCUGACACGCUGUUGCUGUCCGCAAUGGUGUGAUGUUGAUGUCGCUGGAGAGGAACACCACAGUCUUCGCCCCCCUCCUCUCAGCGUCCAGGAUGCAUCAGCAUCAAGUAACGGGGGAUGACAAUUCAGUUGUUUAUUCAGAAAAGUGCAAGGCUUAGAGCUGUGGCACUUCUAAGCAUGAUAAUAAAUGAGGACUAGGUAGGAUCAGGAGAGGCCGGGGUAGCAGCUGGAACUUGUAGCUGUUGCCCACAGGCUGAUGCAUCGGUUGGAAGGAAGCUGGAAGACCCCGGGGACAAGCUCGAACAAACUUCCUUUCAAGCGCCUUGUUGAGCUCUGCAUACAUCUGGAGAUCUUGACCACGGCGACGACUUGCUCCACUCACAACGCUGCUAAGGACAAGGACAGCUACGAUUCGUAGAAAGAGGUUAACUAUAUGUUGCUGGAGACCUGAUGCAUCACCUUGGAAGCUGGAAGACAUGAUGCUUAUGCUACCACCUCUUUGUAGCAGCAACUUUCUAGCACCUUGAUGCUAAACACUUGGAUGUCAUGUAACCCAUGAGCAGCCCAGGUUUCGGAUCCGGAAGUAUGUCCUAAUGCAGCGAUCUUGUGUUGUAUGUAACCGUCCUAUGAUGGGAUUGCAGAAACAAGUAUGAUGUGCAUGAACUUUGUGUUGCCGGUUGUUUGUUAUCGGCGUUGAGAAAUUUCUGGUUGAGUGUAUGUUGAUAUGUCA